AACUAAACAUGCAAAUUUGCAAGCUCCAGUCUCAGAAAUUAAAAUUCAGUGGAUCUCAAUUUUUAACAAGUGUCCCAAGUGAUUCUGAGAUUCAUAGUCUGAGGACCAAACACACGCUGACCUACACAAAUGAUAUUCUACAAAUCACAGUUUUGAAAAAGGCAGCAGCAUUGUUUAUUAACAAGCUACCUUAACUAAAUGUGGGGAAACUCUUCUCUUGUUCCAGGUGUGAGAAGAAGUUACCCCCAAAUUUGGUGGUUUAAACCAACAACAAUUUUGUUAUAUCUCACGAUUUUGUGGGUCAGGAACUUGGGCAGAGGUUGGCUGGGUGAUUCUUCUGUUCUCCCUGUGGUGUUGACUGAAGCCACUCAGUGGUAUCCAGCUAGCAAACAGACUGGUCUGAAGAAUCCAGGUUGGCUUCGCUUCACUUCACGUAGUUUGUCUGGAAGGUUGGGCCCAAGUGGAACUGUCACCUGAAAUGCCUACACAUAACAUCUCCAGUCUAGCAGUCUCGGUUGGGAUAGUAGGUCUCCUUGCAUGGAGGCUCAAGGCUCCCAGAGAUGGUGUUCUAAGACACAGACAUGGAAGCUGCCAUUGUCUCAAGGCCUGGGCUCCGAAACUGACACAGUGUCAUUUCUGCCAUAGUCUACUGGUCAGAGCAGUCACGGAGCCCAACCAGAUUCAAGGGAAGGAGUCAUAAACAGGCUGGAGUCAUGAGAGUGUGACCCCUUGAAGAACUCCAAGUGCAGUUGCAUAGGGCCCUGAACUCAAAAGGGCCUCAUGCUUGGUUUAAUCCUCUGCUGUUGCCAUCUUGAAAUUCUUUACAAUUUUUGAACAAAGGGCACUCCAUUUUCAUUUUGCACUGGGUCCUACAAAUUAUGAAGCCUGUCCUCAUCACAAAUCUCAGCUUUCAAUGGAAGGAGUGUUAAAAAAUUUGUAGGCAUCUUUAAUCAGCCAUAAGCUGCCUGUCAGAGACUUUAUUCUCACCAUACUUCCAUACUCAAAGUUAUCCCUUCAAAAUGCAGACUGAGGUAUGUGAGUUAAAUUCAGCAUAAAGAAGGGAAACAAAUUAUGAGAUUGUAAAUUAGACUAAAUUCUGUGAUGUUUUAGGAUUAAGAAAUAUGUUGAAAACCAACCACACUAUUAUACUAAGUAUCUGGUAGCACUCUAUAUCCGAUCACCUCCGGGCUCACUCACUCACGUAGGUCACUGAGGCAUUAACCAACAGUUAUCCAAGGUCAGAAGGCACACAAUUUAUUCAUAUUGCCCCUGAUGAGAAAGAUAGCCAGUAAUCACUAUUUGGGGGAUGUCUCCAUGAUCUCAGCAAACCUGGAUUUGUAUUUGGGGGCACCUGUAAAACUAUUUAAAAGUUAAGGAACGCAGUAACAACUCCUAUGCUUUUUGAGAAAUGGGGCCACAUGUGACAUCUCUUUGGGUCAUUAGUCAUUUCCACUACAUUAUGUUUUUAGCAGAAGCUCAAUAAGGGUUGCUGGUGAUGAAUCUAUUCAACAAACGGCAUAAUAAUAACAACUACCCAAAAUCUAAGACUGGUAGAAUGUAGACAAUUAAUGGAGAACAAGUUCAGGAAAACAAUAUCGUGACGCCUGAAAGACUUGUUCCUCUAGCCACCGGCAGUGACGCCAGCAGACAGCGCUCAACUGUCAGUCCCCACAGAGACUGCUUUGGCUGAAGGGAGUUGGUUACUGGCUGGGGGACCCUGGAGGUACGCACAAACAUCAGCAGAGAGGAUGCUUCCAGUCUCACUGGAUUCCUUACAGCUGGGGGAGGAGUGAGCAUGAGCUGGAUGAGACCUGCACCAGUUCCUCUGGUGUGUGGCCUCCAACGUCCCUUGCGGCAAAAAGUGAAAAGACCUCACCUUGUCUAAGGAUUGUCUCUGGUGGUCUCAGGCUGUAAAGCUUAAAGCUCUUGGCUGGUACUGUCCUGCUGGUCAUUCCAACUACAUGCAAACUUGGAGACACACAGUCAGAGGCACGUAGCAGACGCUCAAUACAUUUCUCAGAUUUCCCAAUUGCCUUCGUGGAGCGGGCGGGUCCCAAGCAGCAGCCGCGCAACUCGCCCCGCCCCAUUCCGCUGCCCCGCC
ensembl:lncRNA